UACGUAGGGUGCAAGCGUUAUCCAGAUUUACUGGGCGUAAAGCGCACGCAGGCGGAUGAUUAAGUCAGCUGUGAAAGCUCCCGGCUCAACUGGGAAGGGUCGGCUGAAACUGGUCGUCUUGAGGGCAACAGAGGAGUGUAGAAUUGCGGGUGUAGUGGUGAAAUGCGUAGAUAUCCGCAGGAAUACCAGUGGCGAAGGCGGCACUCUGGGUUGUACCUGACGCUGAUGUGCGAAGGCUAGGGGAGCGAACAGG
rnacentral:rRNA from 2 species